rnacentral:misc_RNA from 1 species
AAAAAAAGGGCCCCCCUGGAACCAGAAAAUGGAGAAAUAAGGGAGAAGCAUGAAACCGAGAAAGGAAAUGAAUCAUCACGACAUGAAACUUCAGAAAUGUUUGAAAUAAUGGCAGUUAAGGGAUUUCAAAGCCAGCCACAAGGAAUAUGUGAGAUCUAUCCUUGUACCCUUCUUCUUUGAAACUUCUUCUUUGUUUAUAUUAAACCGUAAUAAGAUCGCACUUCAUUCCCUAUGCUUCUAUCUUUCCCUUAUAUUUAUUCUUUAACAUUAUCCUUCUGCAAUCUCGUUAUCUAAUGCGCUAUUAAUCAGUUAAAAUUUUUGCCAUAA